ensembl:lncRNA
CAUAUUUUGGUCGUAGAAGACUGGUUCAAUAUACAGUUACGCGUCGCGUUAUGAUGGGUAUGGGAUGCUCUGAGAAAUACGUGGUUAGGCGAUUUCGUCCUGCUAACAUCAUAGAGUGUACCUUCCCAAACCAAGGUGGUUCAGCCUACUACACACCUAGCUAUAUGGUAGAGCCUAUUGCUUCUAGGCUACAGACCUGUACAGCAUGUUACCCUGCUGAAUACUGUUGGCAAUUGGAAAACAAUAGUAAGAAUUUGUGUGUCUAAACAUAGAAAAGGUACAGUAAAAAUACCGUAUUAUAAUCUUAUGGAACCAUCGUCAUACACAGAAUCUGUCGUUGACCCCAACAUCAGUGAGCAGUGCAUGACUGUACAUAUUUUUAAAAUGAGUGGAGAGGCAGAUGGUGGUGAUGUGUGUUUCUUCCACUGCCACCCUAUUACAGAUGUUUUCUGUCCCUGAUGAGACACAAGGUGAGGAGCUUCUCUCUGCUGGCAGAGCACUGCCCAAAUGAAGAACUUUCUCACCUCUUUCAGUAUUGUGUAGUUUCAAUCCUCACUCUUUCCCUUACUGCACCGUUAGGAAGUCCAAAUGGGUUUGAAGAAAGAAAAAUGAAGAAAAUAAAUUAAAUUAUGACAUUGAAAAAAAAGCACAAAUGCAUAAAGGCAAGAACACAUCAGAAAAUUACCUGCGAAUGCCUUAGGAAAUGUGCACAGGUAUGGGCAAGUUAGUAUAUAAAUACAAUAACCUCUGCUUCAGGAGACUUUCUGCAGACCUCUCGUAAGUGGCAUUUAAUGAGAAUAAUUACUAAAAUAGUUAACAUUUGCAUGGCUAUACUACACAUAAUAAUAAUAAUAACUAACAUUUACAUAAUGCUGACUAUAUGCCAGGUGUUGUGUUAAGUACAUUAUAUAUAUAUUAAUGAUGUACAUAUUAUAUCAUUUAAUCCUCACAGCAACCUUAUGUGAUGGGCAUUCUCUGAUCCAGAUUUUACAGAUGAAGAGGCUGAGGUACAGAAAAGUGACACACACCCAUGGUGAUACAGACUCACAAUUACUUGUUGCAGAUCAUACAGCUACUAAAUCUGCAAUCUGCAAGAUGAUCUCCUGGAGAGAUUUGGUUCCAACUUGUGCCAUCUCUGGCCCCUCUGCUGAAGUUUCCAAUAAUAUGGAAAUGCCUGUUGAGGAAACAGGGAGCAGCACAGGUCUUCUAAAUUCCACCAGUACAUCUGCUUUUGGCUCACUCUCAACCAAGUAACUGAUACAUCUGACUUCAGAGACAAGCAAUUAGCCCAGUUGUACAGGGCUCUGUGCUGAGAAGCUGGCCCACACUUGGGGCUUAAUGCUUUGUGGUUGCUGUCUUGAAAUUCUUAAUAAUUUUCUCCUUGAAUUUGCAUUUUGUAAAUGAAGUCUGGUGGUGAAAUAGAUCCAUGUGCUGGGGAUUGGACCCUCAGUUUACAUGUGGUCCACCUCCUGCUGCCUUUGUAAUGGGAGCACAAUAUUAAAUGGCAAACAAAACGAAACAAAACAAAAAUAAAAACACUUUGUUGGGUUGGGAGAGAGAUUACAGAGGAAAGGACAAUGACUUUUUGCUUUUUUUUGGGCAAGUGGCUCUGCACAUUUCUUUUGCACCAGGCUCUGUAAAUUAUGCAGCCAACACUUAAUGUAUCAAAUGAAUAUCUGCUUCCAAGCAUUUAUGUGACUACAUUUUCCCACUUAGAAUCCCCUCCCAUAAUUCUGUGUAUUCAACUCCUGCUUACUCUUUAAUGCCGAGUUCUAGUUCCAUUUAUCUUAAGAAGUUUGGUCACUGAUAACUUAUUACGAUGAACUCUUUUUAAGAGAGUUCACUUUAUCAUAUGAUAAAUUAGUAUCACUAUAUUGGGAAGAGUAAUGAGACACUUGUUUUCUGUCAGAAACUUGCAAUUAACUAUUGUAUGCAGCAGGGGUGAAGGUGGGGAUGGGGGUUGAUAUUCAAAAUACUGGAUGCCUUGUUCAGCAGGAGCAUGGAACAAUCAAAAUUGAUGUUGGCUGCAGAACUGAUGCAGGGUCUUAGAAGUCCCCUGUUGUGCUGGUUAUCACUUUCAUAGUUGCUAGAUGAGGACCUAGGGGGUUCCAAGGGAAGGCCAGGCACAGCUGGGACAGCAGGGCGACAUUUGAGAUCAGCAGCUACUUACCAACUGACAUGGAUGUGUAGUCUGGCAUUCUGGAAGGUCAUACUGUAGCAUCCCGGUUAAACGUCAGCCCUACUGGUUUGACUCACUGACAAGAUUCUCAGUGGCGUCUCCAGUUCUUAGUUCCUUCAACUGUCAAAUGAGUAGGUUAUAAUAAGAAAUCAAACCCUCAACUAUUGAUUACCUGUGAUGGUCAAGACUCUGUGCUAGGUAAUGUUGAGAUUCACUGAUACAUAGAUUCUGUCCACCAGAGGUUUCUAAUCAAAUCUACCCUUGGAAAUAAGAUGUACAUAAAUGAUUGAUAUGAGGUAGAAAGUAUCCUAGGAAAGAAGCAGAUGAGCUGCUGAUGGGGUUGAAAGAACUGAGAAAUUACUCUGUUUUGGUGGAAAUGACAUUGAUCUGGGAAAGCCUUGAGAAAAGUGUGGCCAAUAAUCUGGAUUUUGAAAUAUAAGUGAUAUUUUAAAACUCAUGACUAUAGAAAGGAAAGUCAGAAAGGACCAAAGGAAUGCCCACUGUGGACCCCCGUAGCUCUAGAAUCCUGUGCAUCUUUACUUCCGGGCUUUAUUUUUUCCUUUCUGUGUAUGUCCUAUGUACGUCAAUCAGGUUUGAAGUUUCUCAAGUGUCUCUAGUUUUUGUUCCUGGCACAUGCUCAGUAAAUGCUUGAUGAUUACAAUGACAACUGCCUUCUAAAGCUUUAUGAUCUUCAUGAAAAUGGAGACAUGGUGUGUCAAGAUUAUCAUCUCGGAUCAUGGCUAAUGUCUGGAGGGUGAAUCUUUUAUAAUCAGAAUCAUCUGAGAAUGGGCUGGAGUGUGUAUUUGUGUGUGUGUAUGUGUGUGUGUGAUCUUACUGAACACUAAGAUUGUAGGUUUUAAACACAAGCCUUGACUUCAGGUGUGCUUUGUGGUCCCAACAGAGAAGUCAUCAUAACAGGGCUUAAGUAUCAAGAAUAAUAUUAUUGUUUAAGAUAAAAAAUAUACACAUCUGUUGAUUAGGCAUAGAAGUAUGUGGAUAUUAUUCAAUAAAAGCAGGGCCAGAAUAUCUCUCAAAUGGAGUCAAGAAUUUUUGGUUGUUUCUCAAAAACCCAUUCAUUUGCCUUCUGGGCUAGGUUGUAGCUAGGCCUGUUGCACUGAAGUCUCAGUGAUGGAGGAAUAAGUAAAAAGUAGAAGACUGUCACUGUGAUGAAGCAAGGACUUUGUCUUAUGAUGAUAAGGGCUUGAAUGCUGAGCUGGCCUCUUUACCCUUGCCAAGCUCACCAUGGUAUACAUGGCAGCAUGCCUGCAGUUUUGAGCUCCUCUGCCCUGGUGAAUUCCUUGCUUCACACUGGCUGCUGAGGCCAUCAGACUUUGGGUAGGCUUCUGGAGCAAUAAGGGUGAAAGUCAACAUAUACAUUACCACUAUGAGUGUUUGAUCUCAUGCAAAUCUGCUGCAUGGCCCAUUUACUGAUUCAAGAUUAAAUGAAGUCGCAGCAGCUGAACUGAUUCUGGCUCCUUUGCUCAUUCUUGAACGUGGAUUAGCCUUUGAGCACUGGCCUAACUCACUUCCACCAUUUGUGAAGUCCCAGCUCUGGGAUUGUAUCUGGGGUGAGCAGCAGAAAUAUAGACAGAACCAAAGAUUUAGAAUGUGUUAGAUUAUCUCCAGUUCUGCUCUUAGAAGAGGUGCUCUUGUGAUUUUAUUCAACACCAUGGCUUGAUAGAAUGGUGGGGAAAUGUCGAUUCCCUCUAUUCUAAUCUUUUGUUCAUCAGGUAAUUUUUUGAUUUAUCAUGAAGGAUAACCUGGGCAAGGCACAUAGUUCUCAGGCUCACUCUUACAGACUUAUGUAGCUCCUAAAACUAUUGCAGACUUAGGUGUUCAAUUUUGAACUCUAAGAAAGGUUGGUAGGGCCUGAACUUAGUUAUAGAGAAUUUGUUCAUGUCAAAAGUUUGUGGUGAGCCAUCAAAUAAUGUCUGGUUGGCAUCAUACCCAUUGGAUGGGAUUUUGUGUGGCGGGACACAAAACUGACUGACACGUUAGAAUAAUGUGAUUUCAGGAGCUCUAGGGAAGCCUAUUGCUCAAGAAAACCUUUCCCCAGCUUCUGUUUAAUUUCUGAAAUACUCCAGAGUAUCCUCCCUCAAGUGGGUAGCUUUUAGCCCUGUUGAAUUCUUCAUGAGGGGGUUGAUAGUUCUUUUUGUUUGUUUGUUUUGAGACGGAGUCUCGCUCUGUCGCCCAGGCUGGAGUGCAGUGGUGUGAUCUCGGCUCACGGCAAGCUCCACCUCCCAGGUUCACACCAUUCUCCUGCCUCAGCCUCCCGAGUAGCUGGGACUACAGGUGCCCGCCACCACGCCUGGCUGUUUUUUUUUUUAAUGUAUUUUUAGUAGAGAUGGCAUUUCGCCGUGUUGGCCAGGCUGGUCUUGAACUCCUGACCUCAAGUGAUCCACCCGCCUCAGUCCCCCAAAGUGCUGGGAUUACAGGCAUGAAGCUCUGUGCCCAGCCCAAUAAUUCUUUAUAUUUGUUGGUCAAUAAAGUGCCUAAGAGCAUUGAGAAAAAUUGAGGAGAAUGACACCAGAGGCGACAGGACCAGAGAAGAACUUCUGGGUUAAAGAUAGCCCAACUUCUCACUCUCUCUUUAUUUAUUUGUGGCAAAUAUAAAUACCACCAGUGCAAAUACUAGCACAAUUAUUCUACGUUACAAGAUUAACGGGUAACUCUAAAAGUUUGAUCAUGUCCCUACAUCUUGGG